rnacentral:ncRNA from 2 species
UGAAUAUUUUGGGGAACAGGUGUCCUAAGGACUUAAUAGGGAAUCCGGUAUAAGCCGGAGCGGUCCCGCCACUGUAAGGUGGAGUCCUGCACAAUAUGUCACUGGGGUAGAUAAGCGUACCUUGGGAAGGCGAUGCAGGAUGAUGAAACCGAGCCAGGAGAACUGCCUGUUCUGGCAUCACCGU